UUCGCAAUGCCCGAAAGGGUGACGAAGCGACGCCGCGUGUGGGAAGAAGGCCUUCGGGUUGUAAACCACUGUCGGGAGUUAAGAAAUGUAGUGAUGUUAAUAGCAUCGCUACUUGACUAAGGCUCCGGAGGAAGCCACGGCUAACUCCGUGCCAGCAGCCGCGGUAAUACGGAGAUGGCAAGCGUUGUUCGGAACUAUUGGGCGUAAAGGGCGCGUAGGCGGUGACGCAAGUCGGUUGUGAAAUCCCUCGGCUUAACCGAGGAAUAGCUUCCGAAACUGUGUUGCUCGAGUGCGGGAGGGGAGAGUGGAACUCCUGGUGGAGCGGUGAAAUGCGUAGAUAUCAGAAGGAACGCCGGAGGCGAAGGCGACUCUCUGGCCCGCAACUGACGCUGAGGCGCGAAAGCUAGGGGAGCAAAAGGGAUUAGAUACCCCUGUAGUCCUAGCUGUAAACGAUGGGCACUAAGUAGAGGGGUUUU
rnacentral:rRNA from 1 species